rnacentral:rRNA from 1 species
UACGUAGGGUGCAAGCGUUGUCCGGAAUUAUUGGGCGUAAAGAGCUCGUAGGCGGUUUGUCGCGUCUGCUGUGAAAACUCGGGGCUUAACCCCGGGCCUGCAGUGGGUACGGGCAGACUAGAGUGCGGUAGGGGAGACUGGAAUUCCUGGUGUAGCGGUGAAAUGCGCAGAUAUCAGGAGGAACACCGGUGGCGAAGGCGGCGACCUGGUCCGACACUGACGCUGAGGCGCGAAAGCGUGGGGAGCAAACAGG